AUUGAACGCUGGCGGCAGGCCUAACACAUGCAAGUCGAACGAGUAGCGGACGGGUGAGUAAUGUCUGGGAAACUGCCUAAUGGAGGGGGAUAACUACUGGAAACGGUAGCUAAUACCGCAUACCAUCAGCUGUGCCCAGAUGGGAUGAGCUAGUUGGUGGGGUAACGGCUCACAAAGACGACGCUCCCUAGCUGGCCUGAGAGGAUGACCAGCCACACUGGAACUGAGACACGGUCCAGACUCCUACGGGAGGCAGCAGUGGGGAAGAUUGGACAAUGGGCGAAAGUCUGAGGCAGCCAUGCCGCGUGAAUGAAGAAGGCUUUCGGGUUGUAAAGUACUUUCAGUGGGGAGGCGUUACCCGAAGAAGAAGCACCGGCUAACUCCGUGCCAGCAGCCGCGGUAAUUC
rnacentral:rRNA from 1 species